rnacentral:misc_RNA from 1 species
AGUGGUGAGCGAACAGCCAACUAGCCCUUACGAAGAAGGUUUUGACGCUGUGAACAAUAUGGCAUCAAAACAGUCCUAGCAGGGAUUGAAGAGGAAGUUCUGCCCAUCGCGAAAUCUUCAAAUGCCGCUUAAGGCGGCGGCGGAAACAGAAACGAGACCCUGGACCGAGGAUGAAUAUGACGAAAGGAAGACGAAGUCCGAUUGGGAUGAAACGCGUCCUCCAUAAGAAGCAUGUGCGAUGCAAGGCCUUUGAGCCGCUUAGUCGAAUGCUGUAAAAACAAAAGGCAGACUAUGACUCGCCACU